rnacentral:rRNA from 1 species
UACGAAGGGGGCUAGCGUUGCUCGGAAUCACUGGGCGUAAAGGGUGCGUAGGCGGGUCUUUUAAGUCAGGGGUGAAAUCCUGGAGCUCAACUCCAGAACUGCCUUUGAUACUGAAGAUCUUGAGUUCGGGAGAGGUGAGUGGAACUGCGAGUGUAGAGGUGAAAUUCGUAGAGUAUUCGCAAGAACACCAGUGGCGAAGGCGGCUCACUGGCCCGAUACUGACGCUGAGGCACGAAA